rnacentral:lncRNA from 1 species
GUGCGCUCAGACAUCGCUGCGGAUCAUGAUAAAGAGCUGCAGGAACUAAAGACGAUGCAUGCCCUGGAAGUAGAGCAACUCAAAGCCAAACUCUCUGACACUCAUUUACAAGGUUCUUCAUACAAACGCAUACAGUCUUAUCUUAAAAUCGUGAUUAAUCUCAGAAAAUUGAAUAAAUGUUAAAAGUGUUGUAAAUGUCUGUCAUAGACUUACAGGAGCAACUUACUGCAGUCCACUUGGAGGCAGCAAGACGAGCUGAGGCUGAAAUGGAACAAAGGAUGUGGUGUCUAACUGAGGAGCUGCACGCAAAGAUGCUUAUCAUCCACGUUCUGGAGAAAAGCUUAGAGAACCUAAGCAAGCAGCGCAAUGAAGAGAUGGAGCAGAAUUCACAAAAGCUUGACCAUCUUGAGAAAGCUCUGAAUCAAGAAAGAAAGAUUCUGGAAGAGAAAAUAAAAGAGCUUCAGGAGAAGCUCAAAAGUGAAGUGUCUCCAUUAAACUCUGAGAAAGAAAGUGAGAAGUCUCCAACAAAAAAUCUCCAUCAAGAGAAGAAGUCUUUUCAGGCGAUUUUGGACAACGAGAGUAAGGACAUUUUUGGAAGGAAAUAUUUAUUAUUGUUCACUUGUCAAAUCAUAUUCUGUUUUUUUUUUUUUUUUGUUUACUUUGCCUUAAAGUCCCACAGUCCCCUAUGUUGAAACCAGAGACUCAGAAUGACACAGAAUCAGAAAAGGUAAAGGACUACAUGUCUGCAGAAAUCAAAGAGCUCACCAUUCAGCUUCAGAAGCAGAGUGAGGAGAGAUUGCACCAAUGCCAGCAGAGGUGAGAUCCAAUGGGGAUCCAGGCUCAUAGACAUGUUCUUGAGACCCUGACUUUAUCUU